AAAGCAUGAUGAUGUCACUUUUUAAGUAUCUCCUUGAAUCUCUCCCAGAUCUCAUAAAUUGACUAUCCAUUAAUUUGGAAAAAAUGAAGUAAUAUCUUCUCUAUGUUU